rnacentral:misc_RNA from 1 species
GAUGAAGAACGUAGCGAAAUGCGAUACGUAGUGUGAAUUGCAGAAUUCCGCGAAUCAUCGAGUCUUUGAACGCAAGUUGCGCCCGAAGCCAUUAGGCCGAGGGCACGCCUGCCUGGGUGUCACACACCGUUACCCUCGCGCCAACGUCCAUCGUUGGCCGCGGCGCGGGGCGUGCGCUGACCUCCCGCGAGCGGGGUCUCGUGGUUGGUUGAAAAUCGAGUUCGCGGUCGAGGGUGCCGUGAUGAAAUGGUGGAUGGGCGACGCCCGAGGCCAAUCACGCGCGACUCUGUCCGGCUCGGACUCCUGGACCCCUUCGGCGUCUCCGGACGCUCUUUGGCGAGACCUCAGGUCAGGCGGGGCUACCCGCUGAGUUUAAGCAUAUCAAUAAGCGGAGGA